CCGGGGCGUGGCCGUGGGCAGCCUGCGGCCGCUCACCCCGGCCUGCAGACUAGAGCGGCGUCGCGCGCCGCCUGCGCGGCAACCGUCCUCGGUCACAUUUUCAAGCUGUUCUCCUCAACCACAAGGGCUAGAAACGUACUUGAAGGAAAGAAGAAAGAAAGAAAGCUGAGAGUCUCACCAAAUAACAUGAUUUCAGCUUAAAGCUGGAGCUUUAAGAAAAACUCCACAUAUUGCAAGACUUGUGGUAAAAUUGCUGCCUACUACUGAUGUGCCCUUGAGGUCCAGCUCCUACACACCGGCGGAGCGCCUCCAUCAAAUAAAGAAGCAAACAAUGAGGAGUAAGGAGGAUAUGUUUAGAAAAGUGCUGCAAUCAUCUGAUGCUGCAGAUAGCAAGCACAGAGUGUAGAGAGAGACAAUCCACAAAAAAAUCAGAAUGGAUAGCCGGAAGAGGAGACGGGUAGAAGAGGAUGAUAGAGGGGCAGGAGCGGAUAAUAAAGCUGAGUACCAAACAGAGAUGGUGAGGUCCCUGAUUGUGCUGCAGCUGGAACACAUCUGUGCUCAACUCCCCCUGCAGCCCAUACAGAACUGCAUUCCAGGCCCUCCCCAAGCUCCUCCCCCACAUUCAUUGCAUGUUCCUGGCCCGACCCAGUACCCCUUGCACUCCACCCCUAGA